AGGUUUCCCGUGUGAACCGAAAUGCCUUCUAAGUCCAGUAAAUGGAUCUCCCUGGGAGCACUGAACUUCCAAUAGAUUCCCCAGGAUCCCCUGGGAAAAACUGGUCCCUCCUUUCUCCCCAGCAGAUGGGCUGGCAGCCUGGCGCCUGAGGCAGGGUGAGCGGGUCUUUUUCCUCCUGGGAAUGAAGAAUGAUAUUUGGGCAUCUGGGCAGGAAGAUUAAAAAAGAGACAAAUGGGUUUUUUCCUCACCCAAAACUACCAACCCCUCGAUGUUCCCAAAAUCCUCAGUCUGAAGGGGUUGGUUGAGCCAUGGGGGGAGGAAGUGGACAUUAAUAAUAUGUGAUAAUCUCCCCAGAGUUGGCCACCUCUAUCAUCCAAUUUCUCCAGCUUGUCCUCAGUCCUGCUCACAGAAACAGACCUUCUGAAACUGGGGGGCUUCUAUCAAUUUGGCAGCUGUGUUUUUAUCUUGGUGUAGGAAAUUUACAUCAUCACCUUCCCUAUCCCUUCCAGAAACUUGCCCUUUUUUAGCAGCUGCUGGAGGCUAUAAGGAAAUGUGUAGUCUCUGCUCUUGAGGCAAAACACUCAGAAAUAGCAUAGGCUAGACUCAACUGAUUGGGAAUAGAGAACCUAGGGAGAUAGCCAGCCAAGAAGUGCGGCCUCUGACAGGGGGCUUGCCUGCAGAUUAGGAGUUUGCCACUCCCUUCCCUGCUCAGGGGGGUGGUUGGGGAGGGAGUGAGUAAUUUCAAGUUGAAUGAAUCUUUUUUAAUAAAUCAAUGGGCAAAUCAAUUAAAGAAAAAAAGAAACAUCAUGCAUAACUGGCUUACUGUACAUCCCUUUCUUUUUGAGGUGAAUAUAGAUGGCACUGCUUCUCACCGAGAGAUUGCUCAGUUGACCCUUUGAGAAGAAUGAUCACAAACUCAAUAGUACAUAUGAAUCUCCUGAGAUUUUUUUUUUAUUAUUUCAGUAUCCCACUUCAAGAACAGAGGGCAUCCAGUUCUGUCAGCCACAGAGCUAGGGAAAUUCUCUUCUUGCCUCUACCUCUCUGAUUGUGAUUCUCAGGGAAAGGAUAGUUCCUG
rnacentral:lncRNA from 1 species